UCAAGCCAACUUGGGCAAAGUUGUAAAUGCACAAGUAACUCUGUCCCUCUAAAAACCCUAAAACUCUUUACAACUCUCUUACCUCAAGCACAUCGUUUGCGAGAAAACUAGCCGCUUGUGUUUGCUUCUCUUUCCUUUCCUCUUCCUUCAGUUCAUUUGGUUUCUUGCAGAAUGGAUUCACAGAUUAAGCACGCCGUGGUUGUGAAAGUUAUGGGUAGGACUGGAUCUAGAGGUCAGGUGACUCAAGUUAGAGUGAAGUUUCUUGACGACCAGAAUCGUUUUAUCAUGAGGAAUGUUAAGGGACCUGUUAGAGAAGGAGACGUGCUUACCCUUCUCGAAUCUGAAAGGGAAGCUAGGAGACUCCGUUAAUGGUUGCAUCUUUGCAUUUGUUUUGGUGAUAGUAGCAAGACUGUUUUGUUAUGUUAGCUAGAGGAAUUGGUCAUGCUGUCAUGAGCUUUUGUUAUCUGGUUUUACAUUUAUGUCAAGACUUCAACUUUUGAUUUAUGUGUUAUUAUCUAAGGAAUGCUUGAAAUUUUGAAGUAUGAAAAGACCUUAAAGAUUGGUUUGAA